rnacentral:rRNA from 1 species
UGUCGAGCGUGAAGCCGGACUUCGGUCCGGUGGAAAGCGGCGAACGGGUGCGUAACACGUGAGCAACCUGCCCCGAAGACUGGGAUAACCCGAGGAAACUCGGGCUAAUACCGGAAGUCCUCUUCUGAUCGCAUGGUCGGAUGAGGAAAUGUUCAGGCGCUUUGGGAUGGGCUCGCGGUCUAUCAGCUUGUUGGUGGGGUAACGGCCUACCAAGGCGACGACGGAUAGCUGGUCUGAGAGGACGAUCAGCCACACUGGGACUGAGACACGGCCCAGACUCCUACGGGAGGCAGCAGUAGGGAAUCUUGCGCAAUGGGGGAAACCCUGACGCAGCGACGCCGCGUGCGGGAUGAAGGCCUUCGGGUUGUAAACCGCUUUCAGCAGGGACGAAAUUGACGGUACCUGCAGAAGAAGGCCCGGCCAACUACGUGCCAGCAGCCGCGGUAAUACGUAGGGGCCUAGCGUUGUCCGGAUUUAUUGGGCGUAAAGAGCUCGUAGGCGGUUCGGUAAGUCAGGUGUGAAAUCUCCACGCUCAACGUGGAGGCGCCACCUGAAACUGCCGUGACUCGAGUCCGGUAGGAGAGUGUGGAAUUCCCGGUGUAGCGGUGAAAUGCGCAGAUAUCGGGAGGAACACCAGUGGCGAAGGCGGCACUCUGGGCCGGUACUGACGCUGAAGAGCGAAAGCGUGGGGAGCGAACAGGAUUAGAUACCCUGGUAGUCCACGCCGUAAACGUUGGGCACUAGGUGUGGGACUCUAUCGACGGGUUCCGUGCCGUAGCUUACGCAUUAAGUGCCCCGCC